ACUCCUACGGGAGGCAGCAGUGGGGAAUCUUGGACAAUGGGCGCAAGCCUGAUCCAGCCAUGCCGCGUGAGUGAUGAAGGCCUUAGGGUCGUAAAGCUCUUUCGCCAGGGAUGAUAAUGACAGUACCUGGUAAAGAAACCCCGGCUAACUCCGUGCCAGCAGCCGCGGUAAUACGGAGGGGUUAGCGUUGUUCGGAAUUACUGGGGCGUAAAGCGCGCGUAGGCGGGGUUGUUAAGUUAGAGGUGAAAUCCCGGGGGCUCAACCCCGGAACUGCCUUUAAUACUGGCAACCUAGAGUUCGAGAGAGGUGAGUGGAAUUCCGAGUGUAGAGGUGAAAUUCGUAGAUAUUCGGAGGAACACCAGUGGCGAAGGCGGCUCACUGGCUCGAUACUGACGCUGAGGUGCGAAAGUGUGGGGAGCAAACAGGAUUAGAUACCCUGGUAGGAUAGCG
rnacentral:rRNA from 1 species